rnacentral:tRNA from 1 species
UCAACGAUAGUUUACAUAAAACAUUUCACCGUUAAUGAAAAAAAAAACAAAAGUUUCGCUGAA